rnacentral:rRNA from 1 species
UACGUAGGGGGCGAGCGUUGUCCGGAAUUAUUGGGCGUAAAGAGCGUGUAGGCGGUUCGGUAAGUCUGCUGUGAAAUCCUGGGGCUCAACCCCGGGCGUGAAGCGGAUACUGCCGGGCUAGAGGGUGGUAGAGGCGAGUGGAAUUCCGAGUGUAGCGGUGAAAUGCGCAGAUAUUCGGAGGAACACCAGUAGCGAAGGCGGCUCGCUGGGCCACACCUGACGCUGAGACGCGAAAGCGUGGGGAGCGAACAGG